rnacentral:lncRNA from 1 species
CAGGGAAGGCAUUGAGUUAAAAUGAGGUGUUCUAAUAAGAACUUAAUUCCACAGACCCUUUGGUUAUGAAGUGCUUCAGAGUGUAUAUAUAUAUAUAUAUGGGCAUUUAUAUGUGUGUAUAUAUAUAAAAGGUGUGUGUGUAUAUAUAUAUGGGGUGUGUGUGUGUAUAUAUAUAUAGAUCACGUUUUCUUUAUCGCAUAGCUUUUGUAAAAGGGGUCUUUCUCUUGUCUUAUUGCCUUAAUAUUCUUUCCUUUGUCUUGACUUUAGAUAACCUGAUUACUAUUGGAGUAGCUUAAUAAUCAACCUUCUGAAUUCUUUU